rnacentral:rRNA from 1 species
CCAAUAGCGUAUAUUAAAGUUGUUGCAGUUAAAAAGCUCGUAGUUGAAUUUCGGGGUUUAUCCGUUGGUCGGGCUUUUUGGUCUGUACUGGCGUGAUGGAUUCCUACCUUCUGAAUAACCAGCAUGUCAUUAAUUUGGUGUGCUGGGGAAGCAGGACUGUUACCUUGAACAAAUUAGAGUGCUUAAAGCAGGCUAUCGCCUGAAUACAUUAGCAUGGAAUAAUGAAAUAGGACGGCAUGGUUCUAUUUUGUUGGUUUCUAGGAUCACCGUAAUGAUUAAUAGGGAUAGUUGGGGGCAUUAGUAUUCAAUUGUCAGAGGUGAAAUUCUUGGAUUUAUUGAAGACUAACUUCUGCGAAAGCAUUUGCCAAGGAUGUUUUCAUUAAUCAAGGACGAAAGUUAGGGGAUCGAAGACGAUCAGAUACCGUCGUAGUCUUAACCAUAAACUAUGCCGACUAGGGAUCGGACGAUGUUAAUUUUUUAAUGACUCGUUCGGCGCCUUACG